UACGUAGGGUGCAAGCGUUUGUCCGGAAUUAUUGGGCGUAAAGGGCGCGUAGGCGGUCGUGACAAGUCACUUGUGAAAUCUCCGGGCUUAACUCGGAACGGUCAAGUGAUACUGUCGGACUAGAGUACAGAAGGGGCAACUGGAAUUCUCGGUGUAGCGGUGAAAUGCGUAGAUAUCGAGAGGAACACCUGCGGCGAAGGCGGGUUGCUGGGCUGAUACUGACGCUGAGGCGCGAAAGCCAGGGGAGCGAACGGG
rnacentral:rRNA from 1 species